UGAAAAACUCUUCCCCCUUCUUCCCUUUUCGCUUCUUCCCACACCUCUGUGCAUUCUCUAAUCUCUAUUUGCACAGAGAAUUUUCCAUUUUCACAUAAUUUCACACACUAAAUUACUAAAUUAAUCUCUGUUUCUUCUUUUUCUUCUUUUUUCUUGUUUCAGAUACAGAAAAAAAUGGCAACAAAUAACUCCACAGUUCAAAACCAAAACCCAAGUUUUCCCUCAAGAAGAAGGGGUCAGAUCAAAGCUCAAAUAUUUAGCAGCUUGUUCAAAUUUGUGGCAAGCACUUUCUCGAAGGAACAAAACAACAAAGGCGACAACAAUGGUGGUGCCUCUGCAAAAUCGACUCCACCACCGAGUGAUUAUUACAGCUCCGACACUUCCUAGUCUCAGUUUCCGGUUAAACUUUCAAAUUAACCACUGAAAUUGGACGAACAAAACGAAUGGUUUUUGGAAAGUCAAAAUCAUCGGAAGAACGUUAAAAUAACAGAGACUAAAAUAUCUGUCUCGUCAUGCAAUUUGAAGGUUUAUUCUGGGAUUCGAUGAGACUUGUUUCUACCACGUUUGUGCUGGAUCGUGGUUGGUUCUCUUACAAAGCUUUCGGUAACAGAAAUUAUCACCAAGUUAAAAAAAAACAAAAAAACAAAAAAAGCGUUCGUGUCUGUUCCUUUUUUAUUGCAGACUCUAUAACGUGUUCCCUCGUACGAAUCGAAGAUGCUGUUGAUGUGAUGAAGUUGCGUGAUAAAAUCCCGAGAAACCUGUUGUUUUUGUUAUGGUGGAUCAGGACUUUAUGUUACAAGGUUGUUGUUUUUGUUGUUAUGUUGGUUUGGUUUUGUCUCUAGCUAGUGUUUUUAGAGUCAUGGCUAGAGGAAGAUUGUUUGUGAUUUUUGUACCCUUUACUUUCUGUUUGGUUUGUAAUUUUCUUUCAACUACUACUAUCUAUGAAAAUUCAGUGUUUGCUUGUCCAA